UGUGAGCUGUCUGAUCUGGCUGUCU
rnacentral:miRNA from 1 species